CAUGGAAAGUUUCAUCUAUUUUUACUAUUAAAACUAGCAUGACUAAUAAAACAACCAACUAGUAACAUGUGGUAUGUCAUGUGUAUCUCAUGCUGACGUACAUGAAUUAGUUUUUAACAGUGAACAUAGAUAAAUUUUUGAACA
rfam:Gossypium raimondii Chr07_contig_1368, whole genome shotgun sequence.